AACGAACGCUGGCGGCAUGCCUAAUACAUGCAAGUCGAACGAGACCUUCGGGUCUAGUGGCGCACGGGUGCGUAACGCGUGGGAACCUGCCCUUAGGUUCGGAAUAACUCCCCGAAAGGGGUGCUAAUACCGGAUAAUGUCUUCGGACCAAAGAUUUAUCGCCUUUGGAUGGGCCCGCGUUGGAUUAGCUAGUUGGUAGGGUAAAAGCCUACCAAGGCGACGAUCCAUAGCUGGUCUGAGAGGAUGAUCAGCCACACUGGGACUGAGACACGGCCCAGACUCCUACGGGAGGCAGCAGUGGGGAAUAUUGGACAAUGGGCGAAAGCCUGAUCCAGCAAUGCCGCGUGAGUGAUGAAGGCCUUAGGGUUGUAAAGCUCUUUUACCCGGGAUGAUAAUGACGGUACCGGGAGAAUAAGCUCCGGCUAACUCCGUG
rnacentral:rRNA from 1 species